GUUUCUGUGAUUACUUUUUACAAAUAAUCCAUAAGGUGCAUUCAAUAGCAAAGUGUGAGGUGAUGGAAUACAUAGGACAACCACAGGAGAGGGUGCCUACAAAAUGUGCACAAGGGUGUGAUGGAAAUUGUGAAUUGUUCAGGGAGUGCACGUUGCCCCCCAAGAAGGGGGCCAGCAACAUCCCCAAAUCACUUCAGUAAUGAUCCUUCCGCAGGUUCACCUACGGAAA
rnacentral:misc_RNA from 1 species